rnacentral:rRNA from 1 species
GACGAACGCUGGCGGCGUGCCUAAUACAUGCAAGUUGAGCGAUGAAGAUUGGUGCUUGCACCAAUUUGAAGAGCAGCGAACGGGUGAGUAACGCGUGGGGAAUCUGCCUUUGAGCGGGGGACAACACUUGGAAACGAAUGCUAAUACCGCAUAACAACUUUAAACAUAAGUUUUAAGUUUGAAAGAUGCAAUUGCAUCACUCAAAGAUGAUCCCGCGUUGUAUUAGCUAGUUGGUGAGGUAAAGGCUCACCAAGGCGAUGAUACAUAGCCGACCUGAGAGGGUGAUCGGCCACAUUGGGACUGAGACACGGCCCAAACUCCUACGGGAGGCAGCAGUAGGGAAUCUUCGGCAAUGGACGAAAGUCUGACCGAGCAACGCCGCGUGAGUGAAGAAGGGUGUCGGAUCGUAAAACUCUGUUGGUAGAGAAGAACGUUGGUGAGAGUGGAAAGCUCAUCAAGUGACGGUAACUACCCAGAAAGGGACGGCUAACUACGUG